CAACACUAAGGUUAAAAGGAAACAAAUGCAUCUUUUGAUCAUGCUGUGGCCAUCCUGCAAUGCUACCUGGAAACACAUCCCUAUUCUUGGCCCCAGUAUUCCCCGUCUCUUGAUUCUAAACUGGAGCACCAAACAACAGGACAAGUAGAACAUGCAGUUUGACUGUUGUCACACUCUUGGCCCAGAAUGGAAGAUGCACCAAAAACAUGUUUGGAUUUCUUUAAAUGACUAGUGAUCUGUGAAACUAUGUGGCAUUAGUGACAUUUUCCAGUUUCUUAAAGUAUUUCGUGCAAAGAUGUCACGCGCUUACAACCGUCUAAAGCCAACAGCCUUUCACUCAGUUCCUAAAACUUCCCAGUAAACAACAACUCAUCUUGCUUUUUAUAAAAAAAAUCAUAUUUCACCAACUGUAAAAUAUCAUCAGCUGGGAGACUUGGUGUUAUUUUUAUGCAAUAUGAGAAAGUGAAAAUCUGGACAGUUUUAUGGCAUGCCACUCCUGACACUAUGUAUAGAGCACAGCAGUUACCUGUGGUUUGGAGUCUCCUGCAUGCUGUCUGAACCUGCUUUCCCAUUGCCAUGAUAGGACUGUUGGGGAGGAAAGGGCUCAUUUGGCUUACAUGUUACACUGGUUGGUUUUUGUCAACUAGACACAAGCUAGAGUCAUCUAGAAAGAUGGGGUGCCAACUGAGGAAUUGCCUCCAUCAUAGUGGCCCAUGGGCACAUCUGUGGGACAUUUUCUUAAUUAACAAUGGAUGCAGGAGGGUCCAGCUCAUUGUCUGUAGUGCCAUACCCAGGCAGGUCCUUGAUGGUGUUGGAAAGUAGCCUUGGAGAGCAAGCCAACAAGCAGCAUGCUUCUGUGGCUCUCUGUGUUUGUUCCUGACUCCAGGUUCCAGCCCUGAGCUCCUGACUUCCCUUGAUGGACAGUAGACAAGCCCUAUUCUUCCCAAGUGUCUUUUGGUCGUAGUGUUUAUCUCAGCAACAGAAACCAAACUAGGACACGGGUUUGUCUGUUAUUGGGGGACGCCUAGGUGUGAAUCUGGAGGCAGGAAUUGGAGCAGAGACUGCCUAGCAAUACUGCUCACUGGCUUGCUGCCUCUGGCUCCCGCUCAACCAGCUUUCUUACAAAACGCAGCACAGCAAGCCCAGGGUUGGUACUUCCCACCGUGGAUGGGCCCUCCUAUACCAAUUAGUGAUCAAGAAAAUGCACUCACAGACAUCCCCACAGGCCUGUCUCCUUGAGGUUAUUCCUGAAGAGAGGUGAGGCUGCCUCUUCUCGGCUCUGCUUGGCCAGUGAUAGGCAGAUAAUGUAUAUGCAUGAACCCAGUAACAGACUGGUAACAGCUUCAUCUGUGUCUUUCUCCAGUCUGGUGAAGCAUUUAUAUCUUGUUUUGCAGAGCACUAUGGAAAUGCCAAUCAAAGAGAAACCUGUUCUUUGCUAAUAUGCUGUUUAUGUCCCACUGCUCUCUUACACGCCUUGGUGCAUAUAUAGUUAGAUCUUGCAGUGCCAAGUCAUAUAUGAUCUUUGUUAAAAACAACUUUAAUGAUACGUUGUUGCAUUAACUUUCCCUGGGGAAAAUGUGAAUGAAUGUCUGCUCACCCCAGAUAGGGCACCAGUGACAAACCAAAGAAACAAUUCCAAUGAGUUUAAUUGGGGUUACUUGCAAGAGUGUAACAACUUACAGGUGCCUACUUCCCUGGAGAAGACCCCCCACACACACACACAGCAACUGCCUGCUUGUAAGUGUUAGGAGUGGAUCUCAUACGGCCUAAUGCAAUCCACACCCUCUACAAGGGAAUGUUAGUGGGCUCAAUCUUGUGCUGGUCCACUGUGGGUUAUCAGAGUUGCUCUCAUUUCAAGAUAGCACUGCCAUGUUUUACCUAGGGGAUGGAAUCCCAUGACAUACAUCUCGGUUAACAGUGAAAAGAAAAUGGACAGCUGUGGCUGAGCUAAUGGACACGUGUGUGCUACCACCAUUGUCAAACUGUCGUCAAUGUUACUAGAUUAUCAGUCUUAAAACAUACAUGGUUUUCAUGUAUGCUUAAAUGUGGACAAAACAUCAGAGGCUUAUGCUGAUCUGUUCGUUGGACUGUAGACUCUGGGAAGGCAAAGGCAAUCACUUGGGACAGUGAUGUACAGUAAUCAUGCAUAGAAUGAAUGAAUUUGAGCACCUCCUGGGAGGCAUGGAAACAUUUCAAGUUGUCUUCAAAUUCUGGUGUCUAUAAAGAUGCCAAACACAGGCCAGCAGUAAAUCCUGCAUCGGAUCUAUGGAUCCCUGUUCAAAGCUUUCGACAGCGUUAUAAAACUGGUUUGUAGUAGAUUAAAUUUCAGUACUUUUAUUCUUUUCCGUGGAAGGAAUAUAUGUUUUCUAUCUGGGCCCUUUUAUGUGAUCUAAACUCACUGUGUACUUGAACUCUAUGCUUAGCCCAAUUCCAUGUGUUUCCCUUUUGUGCAGCCAGCAUAUUGUGUAAUGAAUAGAAAAAUGAUGUCUCGUUUCUCCAUUUGGGCCACUGAAGCAGGAGUCAGUGCUGCUUCCCCUGGAUGAACAGUGUCGAGAACAUGUGCCCUCCUUGUGUGUUAAUGCCAGAAAGGGCUGUGUAUAUAGUCUGAUGUGUUUCAGGGAAAAUGGAGGAAUGAAGAGAGAGAAGGAAGGUCACCACAGAAAGCACUGCUGGACCAGUGAUGGGAAGAUGAACAAUUAUGUCAACAGAAAGGGUGGUGACCAUGACAACUCUGAAGCAAUCCCAGGGAACCAGCACCUUGAAUUCUCAUUGCCCAGAGAACCCCAGUCUACAUCGUUACAGCUGGGCCUGCAAAGAUACAUCGGCUUCCAUCCCAGUGAUUGUGGGUUUCUGAGACGCAUCCAGGCUGCCCACUGAGGGGAGAAUAAUUGGUGUAGGUGGAAGGUCACCACAGAGUAUCUCCAGCUCCACAGUUAAAUUGUAGUACUGUGAAGAUAGACAAGGGCUGGGUCUUUUAUCUAACAGGAAAUAAUUUUAAUUGAAUCUUUUUAGUUAUAUACCAAUAAAAUUUAAACAUAAUUGCCUUUGUUAAGUAUUGUUAGCAUGAGGCUGAGUAAUGGAAAUUACAAAGAAAAUUUAAAACUUGCUUACUGAAUAUAGAGAAUGGAAUGAUAGAAAACUAACUCCACAAUUUUGGGGGAUGUUCUGUUAACUCAGAUCUGUUUUAACCUGGUGUAAUAAGAAACACAGAAAUGAUGGUCAUUGAGCAAGAUGUUUUUAUUACUCAUGUCCUCUUAGAAGGCUAGCUUGGCACAGUCACCAGGGCUUCCACACACAGAAACACCAGGCCAGAAGGCAGAAGGAGGGCGGGGUAGUAUGGACAGGAACAGGAGAGACAGGGUAGAGGGUAGGAGCUGGUUAGUUUGAAUCAUUUAAGCAGGAAGUCUGGAGAGGGGCAGUCCCUGGUGGUUCAUACCUGGCCCUGGGGUUAUAGUGGCCCACAGUGUGUGUGCUACUGAAGGAGGUGGGAUGGGCUCUGAUUAGUUAGCAAGGCCCUGUGGAUGUCAGAAUAUCAGGAUACAGAAACUGAAAACUGUCGUUAACACAUGAGGGUUUUAUUUUAAUGGUUAACUAAUGAAUUAGGCCUGUAGAUACAUAGAAUGUCCUAUAAAAGAAGCAGAAACACCUACCUUGGGGUCUGAUGGAUGUACUUACUCAGUAAACAUUAAUUAUAUCUGAGUCAUCAUGCCAGAUGGUCCAGCCAUGCUGCUCUUGGUCCUUAAUGGCCAUGGUAGUCAGGUGUGCAGUGUUUAUCCUGAGAAAGCCAGAGAGUGUGUACUGUAUAAUAAAGAUCCCCAUGGGUAAGCCAUCAGAAUGAAAAGGAGGCAUAACAUGUAUGUCCACUAAAAGCUAACAAACCAUUAACUCUGGGCUGUUGUGGCUGCCUGUAAUAAGACCCCUCAUAGAUCAAGGAGCUCAAAACUCUAGCCUGGAGAUAUUUGCAGUUGAUUGGUUAUGAGGGACAGAGAGUCAUUUUUCUUUGGGAUCAAGGUCACUGGUAGAUUGUCUGUGCUCCAGUGGAUGUCCCCACCCUGUGUGCAUGAACGUUUUUAAGUAUUUUCCACUUGCAACCUCUUGUCAGCCAACAAACUUUUACUUGACCCAGAAUGUAGAGGUGUCUUCAUUACUCUUCUAUUGCUGUGAAUAGAUGCCAUGAUCAAAGCAAUUUUUACAGAAGAAAGCCUUUAAUUGGAGUCUUGCUUGCUUACAGUUUCAGAGGUUUAGUUCAUUAUCAUCACGGUGGGGAGCAUGGUGGCAGGCAUGGCACUGGAGCUGAGAGCAAAUCCUGAUUUGUCCACAGAGAGAGAGAGACUGGGCUUAGCAGGGCUUUUGAAACCUUAAAGCCCAUCCCCAACAACACCCUUCCUCCAACAAGGCCACAUCUACUCAAACAAGACCACGCCUCCUAAUCCUUCUAAUUCUCAAAUAGUGCCACUCCUUGGUGACUAAGUAUUCAAAUAUAUGAGCCUAUGGGGGCCAUUCUUAUUCAAACUACACAGUAGGUAUAUGAAAUAGGCACAAAAAUGAAGCAUUUACUAAUAAUAAAUAAAAUUUUAUUUUAAAACAAUUCUUUGAUUCACACAUACAUUUACUAUUUAUUAAAGAUGACAGCAAAUUUGCAUACUAAUAAGAUGGAUCUGCUUGUUGUUUUGACAUAAAGAAUCAAAUUGUGGACUAAAUUUUAGGUCCUACAGGACACGGUACAUCCUCAGUGUUUUCCAGAGUUGAUCGAGAUUUUGACUGAUUCUCAAUACUGACAAUACUGUUUCUCAUAAAUGCAUAGUAUAAAAUAGUAGGGGUGUGUUAGGACCAUCUUAGAAAUGGUUGGAAAUUCUGUUUUAAACUUAGGCCAAAAUUCUUUAGUGAUUUCCUUUUUUUAUGACACUCAAGUCAGCAACACAAACAGCAAUUUUUAAAAUCAAUCAUUCUAAGAACAGGGUCCAAAGGUACACUAACAGGAGAACUGUGUGGUGGGGGGUGAUGGUAGGAAAAUAUUAAAAAGUCUUUGUUUCCCAUAACUAGGCUAUUUAAUUCUAUAAAAACAAAAGGCUUUGCAUGCUCAUUAAGAACUCUACAAUGGACAAUGUGCUGCAGUCUCAAAUUGGAGUGGAGAUAUUUUGAGCUCUGUCCCUUGGCAGGUGGUGAUGGCACGUGCCGUGCAGAGCAUGCUGUAUGUUCACUACCAACAUCGCAGUGAAGUCGCAGGACAUAGCACAGGCGAAUGCUGCUAGAAACACCUCAGACUUGUACAGGUUUGCUUUGGGAUUCACUUUUGCUUGCUGUGUGUUCAGAAGCCUUUUUACUGUGGCUCACUCUUGUGAUUCACAGUUUAAGCAACUGGGUCCCAAGCAGUGAUGUGAC
rnacentral:lncRNA from 1 species